rnacentral:rRNA from 1 species
AUUGAACGCUGGCGGCAGGCCUAACACAUGCAAGUCGAGCGAGCGGCGGACGGGUGAGUAAUGUAUGGGGACUGCCCGAUAGAGGGGGAUAACUACUGGAAACGGUAGCUAAUACCGCAUACUAUCGGCUAACCCCUAUGGGCUUAGCUAGUAGGUGAGGUAAUGGCUCACCUAGGCGACGAUCCCUAGAUGGUCUGAGAGGAUGAUCAGCCACACUGGGACUGAGAAACGGCCCAGACUCGUACGGAGGCAGCAGGUGGGAAUAUUGAACAGUGGGUGCAAGCCUGAUGCAGGGAUGCCGCGUCGAUGAAGAAGGCACAAGGGUAGUAAAGCACUUAUAGUCGGGAGGCGUAACAGAUAGAAGCAGAACCGGCUAACGCCGUGCUAGCAGCCGCGGUAAUAC